rnacentral:rRNA from 1 species
UACGGAGGGUGCAAGCGUUAUCCGGAUUUACUGGGUUUAAAGGGUGCGCAGGCGGAUAUGUAAGUCAGUGGUGAAAUCUCUGGGCUUAACCCGGAAAUUGCCAUUGAUACUAUAUAUCUUGAAUGUUGUGGAGGUAAGCGGAAUAUGUCAUGUAGCGGUGAAAUGCUUAGAUAUGACAUAGAACACCUAUUGCGAAGGCAGCUUACUACGCAGAUAUUGACGCUCAUGCACGAAAGCGUGGGGAGCGAACAGG